rnacentral:rRNA from 1 species
CCUUAGUAACGGCGAGUGAAGCGGCAACAGCUCAAAUUUGAAAUCUGGCCCUUGGGUCCGAAUUGUAAUUUGUAGAGGAUGAUUUUGGUGCGGUAUCUUCCGAGUUCCUUGGAACAGGACGCCUUAGAGGGUGAGAGCCCCGUACGGUUGAAUGCCUAGCCUCUGUAAAUCUCCUUCGACGAGUCGAGUAGUUUGGGAAUGCUGCUCUAAAUGGGAGGUAAAUUUCUUCUAAAGCUAAAUAUUGGCCAGAGACCGAUAGCGCACAAGUAGAGUGAUCGAAAGAUGAAAAGCACUUUGAAAAGAGGGUUAAAUAGCACGUGAAAUUGUUGAAAGGGAAGGAUUUGUGACCAGACUUUUUCUGGGCGGAUCAUCCGGGGUUCUCUCCGGUGCACUUCGCCCAGUAAAGGCCAGCAUCGGUUUUCGGCGUGGGAUAAAAGCAGUAGGAAUGUGGCUCUCUACGGGGAGUGUUAUAGCCUAUUGUAUAAUACCGCGCUGGGGACCGAGGUUCGCGCUUCUGCAAGGAUGCUGGCGUAAUGGUUAUCAAUCACCCGUCUUGAAACACGGACCAAGGAGUCGAACAUUUGUGCGAGUGUUUGGGUGUUAAACCCUCACGCGUAAUGAAAGUGAACGGAGGUGAGAGCCCUUACGGGUGCAUCAUCGACCGAUCCUGAAGUUUUCGGAUGGAUUUGAGUAAGAGCAUAACUGUUCGGACCCGAAAGAUGGUGAACUAUGCGUGGAUAGGGUGAAGCCAGAGGAAACUCUGGUGGAGGCUCGCAGCGGUUCUGACGUGCAAAUCGAUCGUCAAAUCUGCGCAUGGGGGGCGAAAGACUAAUCGAACCAUCUAGUAGCUGGUUACCGCC